UUACACAUUUUGUCAAAAGGAUUUUGUAGGUAGUUACAUUUUACUUCCUAUUAUUGUCCAUGUCUUAGAAAUUAUUCCCUAUAUUCUCAGGUGUAAUUAUUUUGUCUUUCUGUAUAAAUUAUAAUUAUAUCAUAGAUUACACUGAAUCCUGGCAUCUUCUAAAAAAAUUCUUUCCUUUUGUCAUAGAUGCUCUUGUUCAGCAAGUUUUUGGAGUAGGAUAGAUCUUCAAACAUGUUUAUAUACUUGGUUUUUUCAGCUGAUAUUUUGUGCAGUUAUGGCUUUGUUCAUGAUAAAUAUUUUUUGUUUUGCCCUGCAUGCACAUAGAAUAGCGUAAACAGAUCAUGUUUUACUUAAGUUCUAAUUUGAUGACUUUAAUUAUUGCCCUUAGUAUAUUUUUGUUUUUAUGUUCCCUGAAGGGGAGCAUACAGCCACUGCUUUGUCUGUCCAUCUUUCUUUCCGUCCAAACUUUUGUUGUGUAUAUCACAAAAAGUAUUUUACCCAGAGUCAUCAAACCUCACAAGAGAAGAAUUCUAUAGGACUUGUCUUCCUUUCUUAUCCUUUCCUGAGUUAUCCAUUAUGUUUCAGUUUAUAAACAUCUACUAUUUGGGAAUAAAUAUGUAAAUAAAUAAGUAAAUAAUAUAUAUAUCAAAUAAAACCUGACAGGAUUGUCAUUCAGCAUGUAGAGUUGUUUACCUGGGUCCAAUUGUUCGAAACUUUAACAGACUGUUAAACUAAUCCCCUUUUAAAUUUUGAUUCAAAAUACUAGUCUUGGUGGGAAACACUAGUAUGAUGUUUUAAUUUUACUGUAAAGACGUUUUAGUGUUCAUAAUCCUUAAGUCAUACAUUUGUUUUUCUAAGUUUUCUAAAAUGUUGAAUUAUUAUUUUAAAAGCUAAUCGACUGUUAGCUUAAUCAACUGUCAAAGUUUCGAACAACUGGGCCCUGGUGUUUUAAUUGGGAUUUCACAUAGUCGGUCCAGGUUUAUACUCAUAAACCACUUGAUAGAUCUUUAUCAAACAUUGUCUGUAACUAUUAUAUAGCAUAGAUCUAAACAGACAAAGGAAUAAAUACAGUUGUGAGUCCCUAAAUCAUUAGAUGCCAGUUCUUGCAAAUCGGUAUGCUGUGUCUGUUAUUACUGAAUUCCAUUGUCUCAUGUUUCAAAUUAGGAUUUUCACCUUUUUGGAAUUUUGAAUAUUUCCUCUACAGAAAGCAACAGGUGGUUUUGAAAAAUCAAAACAAAAUUACCAUGACAACAGAAUUGCUGGCAGCUUCCUGCUUUAACCAGCUCUAGGAUUUUGAAAAAUUUGACUUUCAAUAUUUUAUUGACUGAAAGAAAUAUUGUCAACAGUGAACCUUUUUGUAGUGAAAAUAUUAACAAUCAUUUCAGCUGAUUGAACCUUUUAUGUUUAAACAGGAUAUAAUGUAUACAGUGCUUGUGUUAUUAUCAGGGUGUUCACACACAAGAAACAAGGGUGACAUAGUCACAAAAUGCGCCCUUUGAGAGCUCGUUAGAAGAAAAGUUUAUGUUACAGAACAGCACAUAUGACUCAAAUAUCAUGACAGUAGCUUCAAACAUACAAAAACAACUAUGGAUACUGCCCAAAUUGCAUAUUUGUCAAUGAAUGUAUAGCUAACAGUUGUAGUAGAAUAAGAAAUGCUCCGAACAUAGUCAUUCUUGCAUCUGACCUUUGGCCUCUAAGUGUGACCUUGACCUUUGACCCAGGGACCUGGUUCUUGCACAUGACACUCCAUCUCAUGGUGGUUAACAUUUGUACCAAGUUACAUCAAAAUCCCACCAUGCAUGAAGAAGAAAUACUCUGGACAAAGUCAUUCUUGAAUUUGACCUUUGACCUCUAUUUGUGACCUUUGUGACCUUAACCUUAGAUCAAUGGACCUGGUUCUUGAGCAUGACAUUCCAUCUCAUGAUGUUGAACAAUUGAAACAAGUUACAUCAAAAUCCCUCUAUGCAUGAAGAAGAAAUACUCUGGACAAAGUCAUUCUUGAAUUUGACCUUUGGCCUCUAAGUGUGAUCUUGACCUUAGACCUAGAUACCUGGUUCUUGUGUGUGACACUCUGUCUCAUGAUGGUGAACAUUUGUACCGAGUUACAUCAAAAUCCCUCCAUGCAAGAAGAAGAAAUGCUCCGGACAAAGUUUGUAGAUGCGGGUUUGAAUGCAUAUCAAAUAAAAGAAUUUCUGUGACUAAAUUGUUCUUGCCAAGAACCAUAACACACUUAUACAUUAUUUAAUACAGUAUGCCCCUUCUUUGAAUGUAUUUAUUGUCUUGGUGAAAUUUUCCAUUUUUUGACAAUUUUUAAAGGACUGAUAUCACCAUAAAUAUAACUCAAAUCAUUAAAUUAGAGUUGAGAUGGUUAUAGGUAAACAUGUAUGUUUCACUCCUGAGCUUGAAACAGUUUGAAAUAGUCCCCUUUCUAAAGCCAUUAGAGCCAAAUAUAGAAAAACAUUUAAAUUACAUCUUCCCAUGAACCAUUUGCUGGAUCUUCAUUAAACUUGGUCUGUAGCAUCAUCGUUGUGGUUACCACUUGGCCCCACAUAGGGGACAUAGGAACUAAAAACAAAACAACUUCUAACUAUAAAAAUGGAAGUUUGUUUUAAUGGGUAAGCAUUUUUGGGCUGUCACAGAAAAAUAUUGAAAAAUACCUUUGAAUAACUAUAAGUUAAAAGAUGUUCACCAAACUUGGUCAGAAGCAAGGUCAGAUGAUCAUCGUCCUCUUUAGGUCAGCAACUUAGGCCUAUUUGGCCCUCUUGUAUGUUGUAAUCUGUUGUUCUUUGUAAAAGGAUAACCACUUUCAAAUCAAGAAUAAAUGUUGUCUAUUUUCAGUUCCUGGUCCACCACAGUAAUCAGGUUCCCACUGGUAUGGGAAACACUUGUAGAACCAAAUGGCAUCAUUGCAGUGAGUAUGUGUGAUUUAUAGAUCCAGAAGGAGCCCUCAGACAUGUGAAAGUGGAGCACCUCACUACAUGAGUCAAGGUCACCUGGGAGCAACCUUUACCAAAUGGAGAUUUGCUGGGUUAUAAGUUGAUGCAUAGAUAGAGGGAGAACACCAACUAUAUGGGGUUGGAGAUUUCUGUAGUCACCACAGAGAAAUACUGCCCUGCUUGUGAACUAUGCGUUCUUUGUGAAAGCUUUCAAUGCAGUAGAGGAAGGUCCUGUUAGAACAUGACAUCAUUUACUGUGUCUGUAGAUGAAGCAGGUAUGUAACUUAGUUUAUAUGAAUUCAUUUAAAUCUUACUAUGAACCAGAGGCAAUAUUUUCUACCUGCUAAAAUUAGCUAGUGCCUUUCUGUUCUCUAGCUGAAAUGAAAAGCUACAAGCUAAUGUUUAAUGAUAUUUUAAAUAAUUUGAACAAAUUCUUUAAAAGUUAUGUUCAGUGAAAAUCAGAUGUUUAAAUACAGUAGCUGUGAACAUUCUGUAGUAACCUGUGAUGACUUUGCCAGUAGGUGCAUACAGCUUCCAUGUUUUACAAGUCAUCUGUGUCAAAAUUGUGGGAUUGCCCAGAACCAAGCAUGCAUGUCUAUGUUUGAACCCUGGUGAAGUAUGCUUCAAGCUUGUUAGUUUUACAGUCUUGUUCCUGGGAAAAAACCAGUAGUGCUGUCAUAUGAGAUGACAAAAUUGUUUCAAAGUGUAGCUUGAAGCUGUUUUAGUAACACCGUAGUGCUAAUUCACUACUGUUUGAUCUACCUUAUCUGUUACAAAGUUUUUCCUAGAUUUUUAUGCCCCUGAAAGGAGGCAUAUUAGUU